AAUAACAAGAAGGAUUAUUUCCAGAGAGAUUUUCCAGCCUGAACAAUAAGCACCUAACUUUGCUUUGUUAUACAGACACUACAUUCUCGGUCAAAAUGGAGAUCGAUGAAUGCAUGAAGAAAAGGGGAAAAAAGUACACUCAUUCUCGGUCAUAAUAUACGUCAUAACAAAUCGCCCCCACACCAUCCCUGCAAACACCCAAAUCGCGUUCCUAGUGUGGAAAGUGACCUCCAACGGAACCAAUCAACCAGUAACCAGCCUCGUCAACAAACGCACAAACAGAGCAACCCAAACCCUAACCCAUACAGAAACCCUAACCCCAAUACUCGCACACGAGAGAGUAUAAAGUUUACAGACAGAGCAACCCGAACACAAGCACACGAGUGAGGAUGAGAGAGGGAGAUAACAAUGAUAGUAUAGAAUUUACCACCGCGAACGAGGUCAAUGCCGACUGCAAUCCAGGUUCGACGUCGCUCCUCGUCGGAUCUGCCCGUCGCCGUCACACAUCAGAUCUGUUUGCCAUCGUCGUUGCUCAUCGCCACCACUGUCGCCCAUCAAUCGAAGAUGCGCACCGCGGAAGGCGGAUCCCCUACACUCCUCUCUCUCUCUGUAAGUCUAUAUCUUUU
rnacentral:lncRNA from 1 species